CCCAGAGCCUUAUGUGGCUAAGUCCAAUGAUGCACUAUCCCUUCUCCUGGGCAAAAAUAAAAGCAAUAAGAUUUUCUUCCCAAUGUCCCUCUAGAAUUAGUAAUGAACUUGCCCUGCUCUAUCCAAAUCCUUUUGCCAUUCUCUGAUGUUGACUCAUAGGCAAAAUGAGUGAUUAGGGCAGUGGCCUGUAUCAGCGGAACUAAGCUUACUGCCAUUUUGAGACAAAGGUAACUGGUCUUUUGGGAUUUGAACCAAUGACCUGGACCUCAUUGGCACAAUGCUUUAGCUGACACAGACUAGCCCAUCAUCUACUUUUUGUUAUCUAUUCUAAAGAAGGGGUGCACUGGACAUGAAUAAUAGAAGCCGUAGGUAAUUCAACUCAACGAAAAGCUAAUGAGGGCAUAUGGUAAGCCAGGCCUUGUGUUACACAGCAGGGUACUCUGAAAAGACCUUCAUAUUUGGCAUCGGAGAUCCUGGGUUUGAAUCACGGCUCUACCAUUUGUUGGCUACGUGAUCUUAGGUGAGUCACUUGACUGCUAGGUGUCUCAGUUUUCUCAUGGGUGGGAUUUUAUUGAGGAUCAGAUGAGAUACAAUAUGUGAAAGCACUUCUAAACAGUUGAGUGUGAGAUAUUGUUAGUUUUUAUGUAAAGAACAGGACCCGAUCUCUACCUUUAAGGCUUUUACCUUUUGUCUGAGUCUGAUAGGAUUGGAUUUCUUCCAGAGAGAAAAUUUCCUUGAGGAAUAAGCUCAGGGCUCCAGUCCACUCGAGCAGAAGGGAACCUUCUUGUGGGAAGAAGUCGUCUUCCCUCCAUGUGGUCUAACUUCCCAAUCAGGGAGGAGGCUGCUGGUGUCCAUCCAUCUGAGCAGGUGGCAGCUGACUGCCAUAGGAAAAAUAAUGAAGAAUUUUAAGUGGAG
rnacentral:lncRNA from 1 species